rnacentral:rRNA from 1 species
GACGAACGCUGGCGGCGUGCCUAACACAUGCAAGUCGAGCGAGUGAAUCUCCUUCGGGAGUGAAGCUAGCGGCGGACGGGUGAGUAACACGUGGGCAACCUGCCUCAUAGAGGGGAAUAGCCUUCCGAAAGGAAGAUUAAUACCGCAUAAGGUUGUAGCUUCGCAUGAAGCAGCAAUUAAAGGAGCAAUCCGCUAUGAGAUGGGCCCGCGGCGCAUUAGCUAGUUGGUGAGGUAACGGCUCACCAAGGCGACGAUGCGUAGCCGACCUGAGAGGGUGAUCGGCCAAAUUGGGACUGAGACACGGCCCAGACUCCUACGGGAGGCAGCAGUGGGGAAUAUUGCACAAUGGGGGAAACCCUGAUGCAGCAACGCCGCGUGAGUGAUGACGGCCUUCGGGUUGUAAAGCUCUGUCUUCAGGGACGAUAAUGACGGUACCUGAGGAGGAAGCCACGGCUAACUACGUGCCAGCCGCCGCCGUAACAC